rnacentral:rRNA from 1 species
GGAAUAUUGGUCAAUGGACGAGAGUCUGAACCAGCCAAGUAGCGUGAAGGAUGACUGCCCUAUGGGUUGUAAACUUCUUUUGCCGGGGGACAAACGGCGGCACGCGUGCCGUCCUGAGGGUACCCGGAGAAAAAGCAUCGGCUAACUCCGUGCCAGCAGCCGCGGUAAUACGGAGGAUGCGAGCGUUAUCCGGAUUUAUUGGGUUUAAAGGGUGCGUAGGCGGGCUUUUAAGUCAGCGGUAAAAAUUCGGGGCUCAACCCCGUCCGGCCGUUGAAACUGGGGGCCUUGAGUGGGCGAGAAGAAGGCGGAAUGCGUGGUGUAGCGGUGAAAUGCAUAGAUAUCACGCAGAACCCCGAUUGCGAAGGCAGCCUUCCGGCGCCCUACUGACGCUGAGGCACGAAAGUGCGGGGAUCGAACAG